AUUGAACGCUGGCGGCAUGCUUUACACAUGCAAGUCGAACGGUAACAGGGUGCUUGCACCGCUGACGAGUGGCGAACGGGUGAGUAAUGCGUCGGAACGUGCCGAGUAGUGGGGGAUAACGCAGCGAAAGUUGUGCUAAUACCGCAUACGUACUGAGGUAGAAAGUGGGGGACCUUCGGGCCUCACGCUAUUCGAGCGGCCGGCGUCUGAUUAGCUAGUAGGUGAGGUAAAGGCUCACCUAGGCGACGAUCAGUAGCGGGUCUGAGAGGAUGAUCCGCCACACUGGGACUGAGACACGGCCCAGACUCCUACGGGAGGCAGCAGUGGGGAAUUUUGGACAAUGGGCGAAAGCCUGAUCCAGCCAUGCCGCGUGUCUGAAGAAGGCCUUCGGGUUGUAAAGGACUUUUGUCAGGGAGGAAAUCCCUAGUGCUAAUAACACUGGGGGAUGACAGUACCUGAAGAAUAAGCACCGGCUAACUACGUGCCAGCCGCCGCGGUAAUAC
rnacentral:rRNA from 1 species